CCUACGGGAUGCUGCAGUGGGGAAUAUUGCACAAUGGGGGAAACCCUGAUGCAGCGACGCCGCGUGAAGGAUGAAGUAUUUCGGUAUGUAAACUUCUAUCAGCAGGGAAGAAAAUGACGGUACCUGACUAAGAAGCCCCGGCUAACUACGUGCCAGCAGCCGCGGUAAUACGUAGGGGGCAAGCGGUAUCCGGAUUUACUGGGUGUAAAGGGAGCGUAGACGGGAUGGCAAGUCUGAUGUGAAAACCCGGGGCUCAACCCGGGACUGCAUUGGAAACUGCCGAACUAGAGUGUCGGAGAGGCAAGUGGAAUUCCUAGUGUAGCGGUGAAAUGCGUAGAUAUUAGGAGGAACCCCGAUUGCGAAGGCAGCAUACCGGUGCACAACUGACGCUCAGGCACGAAAGCGUGGGUAUCGAACAGGAUUAGAUACCCGAGUAGUC
rnacentral:rRNA from 1 species